UAGUUUUAUGCCAGCUUGAUACAGCUAGA
rnacentral:piRNA from 1 species